GCCUUCUCCUGAUUACCUUGGGCUUUCAAUUUGUGCUAUAUUUUGUUGCUGGAUGAUUGCAAUAUUUGCAAUAAUGAAGUCAAUGGAGACACGUACCUACAAUCAAAGUGGUGAUUAUGAUAGAGCUCUACAAGCUUCCUCUCAAGCAAAAAGUUAUAGUGUAGCAGCAAUAAUAGUGGGAUUGAUACUCAAUGGUAUUGGAAUUGCAAUAGCACUCAUUCCACCAAUACUAAUAAGUAUAGCUGCAGCAGCAAGUUAACUGCAGAGACAGUAUGAUGUGCAGAUCAAUAUCAUGUUUUCGCAUGUGUGUGAUAGUUCAACUUUUAGUUGCUGUAUAUUUUUCUUAAAUAAUUUUUGGUUUUGUUAAAACUCAGCUCA